rnacentral:tRNA from 1 species
AGCCUCAUGGUGUAAUGGUAGCACUACAGUUUUUGGUACUGUCUGUCUAGGUUCGAAUCCUGGUGAGGCUA